rnacentral:rRNA from 1 species
UGAGCAACCUACCGAACUGUGGGGGAUAGCCGGCCUAACGGCCGAGUAAUACCGCAUACGCUCUCAGGGAGGCAUUUCUUUGAGAGGAAACCUACGGGACAGAUCGAGGGGCUCGCGGCCUAUCAGCUAGUUGGCGAGGUAACGCUCACCAAGGCAACGACGGGUANCUGGUCUGAGAGGAUGGCCAGCCACAUUGGGACUGAGAUACCGGCCCAGACCUCCGUACGGGGAGG